CCUUUCUGAAUCCUCCGUAAAUUCCCUAUACUCUUUUCCUCUCUCCCUCUCUACACGAACCCUCUCCCUGACCGUUCAGCUCCUCAGUCUCGCUCUCCACCGUCGACGCUGGGUCUCUGCCAUGGUCGCUUCCCUCGUCGCCUGCCCUCGACGCUGCCCUUCUUUCUAUCGGUCUCCACACUCGCCACCCUCGAGCUCACCACGCGUCUUGCCCGCCAUUUUUUCUGUCGGUCUCCACGCGUCUCGGUAGGCCUCGUCUCGCUCCGCCCUCAUAUCGUCUCUGUCGCUCCACCUUCGUCUCACUUGUCUUCUCCGCUUCUGUUCAAAGAAGUGGCACGGACAAAAUGGAUUGAAAUUCAAGUUAUAACAGUGGUUUGAGCAUACCCAUUUUGAAUGGAAUUGAGAAAGUGGAGAUUGAUUGUUCAAAAGAAGGGAAUCUGGAAGCUGAAGAAAAAGGAGUAUAAUAUUAAAUUAAAUUGUUUGUGAAAAUGGAUGCCCUCGUCAAGGAAGCUGGUAGAAGUAUUUUAUUUGAUUAAUCUCAUUGCUUUUUAUUGCGUUAAUCAUUCUUUUCUUGGUUUAUAAUUUUUUAUAGGUAAACAACACAGUGUAGUUCUUCCAGAGAAAAAUGGAAUGUUUAUAGAUCCGUUCGUUCUCCAAUGAAGCUUUUGAGUCGGUUUGAUGAUCAUCCUGAAAUCGGGACAUUGCAUGAUAAUUUUGUGCUUCUUGACCCUGAUCUGGAAAGCUCUUGGUCUCUUUUUGUUGGCAACUAUAUCUGGAACUUAUAUUGCAUCUUCCCUCGCAAAUAGGGCAGCACAUUCCACACUUGUUUGUUGCUCUUGUUAGACUUGUGCAAUCAGCUUCGAUAGCAGGAUUGGAAAGCUUAUAGCUUCAAAGCUUUAACUCCUUGUGCACGCUUAAAUGUAUUUUUUUUGUAUUUUCAUUUAAUUAGAAUUCGU